rnacentral:rRNA from 1 species
CCUACGGGAGGCAGCAGUCGGGAAUCUUGCACAAUGGGGGCAACCCUGACCCAGCCAUGCCGCGUGUGUGAAGAAGGCCUUAGGGUUGUAAAGCACUUUCAAUUGGGAGGAAAAGCUAAUGGUUAAUAGCCAUUACCCCUGACGUUACCUUUAGAAGAAGCACCGGCUAACUCCGUGCCUCCAGCCGCGUCAAUAACGGU